UGAGUUUUAAUUAAUUCCGAACUAGAAAUUAAAGAACAAUAAAACAGUGAGUAGAAAUUAUCUAAUAUUUCGGUUUGGUGAAAGGUGUGAGUAUUGAGUGUAAUACAUCACCUUAGUUGAAGAAGAUCUGUUCAACAAAAACAAAGGUUAGUGAUAUUGAAAUUAAUUAUGGAGUAAGAAUUGUAUAGUCUAACCUCAUCAAUAUUUUGUGUAAAAUUAAAUCGCUCCCUUUAACCUGUUGUAACGAGUCUUUCAAAAAGACUUUGGUUAUACCAACUGAAUUAUCAUCGGUAACCCGUUACAUAAAUUGGUGUCAGGUGUGUCUCCUAAAAAUUGACACAUAAAUUGGUGUCAGGUGUGUCUCCUAAAAAUUGACACAUAAAUUGGUGUCAGGUGUGUCUCCUAAAAAUUGACACAUAAAUUGGUGUCAGGUGUGUCUCCUAAAAAUUGACACAUAAAUUGGUGUCAGGUGUGUCUCCUAAAAAUUGACACAUAAAUUGGUGUCAGGUGUGCCUCCUAAUGGUAAAAAAAAAAAGUAAAAAAUAAAAAUUGACACAUAAUUUGGUGUCAGAUGUUUCCCCUAAAAAUAAAAAUUGAGACAUAGUUUGAUGUUAUGCUUGUACAAUUGUAAAUUUAAUACAUAAUUUGAUGUUAAUUAUAGUUACAUAAAAUUUGAUGGUAUAAAGUUUGUGUAAAAUGUUCACAUAAUUUUGGAGUCGACUGUUUUAAUUUAAAGAUUUGAAGAUAGAAGAAAAUUAAAAUUUAUUUGUUAAGAAGUUCAAGAGUAAACAAGAUCUGUGGUUGACUAUACAUAUUUUUAUUCUGAUUUUUAGUAUCAUUUACCUGUCUGUUGUUGUUUUAAUUGCUAAUAUUUGUGAAAUUGGUUUUGUAAAAUAAAUCGAAGUUUAGGUCAAAUUUGAGAAUAAAAUGAUUAGUUUCAAUUUAUAGUAAUUGGAAAAUAUUGAAUAAGUAAAUAAAAUUUUAACAACACAGAAAAGACACAGGAAAUCGGUGAAAUCUCCGGCAUUGACAAAAUCACGUCAUUUGUCGUUAUAAAUUGUUAGAAGUUGUUUUAAUAUUUGGUUGGAUAGUAUUGUUCAUUUAAAUGGUACAAAUUUUGUUGAUAAUUGUUUAUAUAUAAGUAAAAAUCCUAUUUCUUUAAUAUUGAAACAAUAUUUCUAAUAAUUUAGUGUGAUGGUCUUACGGAACUUAUAAUUUGACAAAUGUGGUUGACUGUAAGCUAUAAAUAAAAGCAGGUAGUAAAGCUUUUGAGUGAGUGUCACUGAGAUUUAUGAGGGGUUGGUUAAAGAAAAAGAGGUAGUUUUACAUUUCAAGAAUAAUAAUGAUUGUAUUUCAUAAAAAAAAAAAAAAAAUAUUUAAUUAAGUAAGAAUUUAACAAAAUUUCCUUAUGACAAUAAUACAAGUGGAAGAUUAUAAGUUCGCAUAACCAUUUGGAAUUAUUAACGCUGAAUUUAUUUCAGAUUUAUUAAUUGAGAUUUUUCUUUCAGAGAAAUAGUUUAAUUUUUAUUGAUUAGUAGUUUGUCUUCCGUAGUUUUUUUUUGUAUGUAAAAGGAAGAAAGUAUUUGCAUGUACAUUGAUUUGUAAGGUUUCGUAGCAAUUUCUAGUAGUAUACUCAGUUAUCAAUUCCGGGAGCAAAGAGUACUGAUUUUCCAUUUGUACUGUUUUUGGGCAAAAGGUCAAAAACGCUGUGAACUAAAUACAAGUCUAUUAAGUAAUAUAAAAAAUAUCUUAUAAUUGUUUGUGGAAAUGAGUCGUGACGAGUCAAGUUUUAAUAAAUAUUCAGUUAAUAAUUUUGAUGAAACUUGUUUGAGUUUAACAUCUAGAGAACAGUUAGCAUCAAAACGUAAUACCAACAGUAAUACUUUGAUGGAAGCACUGUGUUAUUCCUUGUCAAGGUUAGCUAUGAACAGUAAUCUUACAUUCAUAGAUGAUUUUGAAUCAUUAGGAUCUUUUAUGUGUAGACUUAAAAUAAUUGCAGAAAAGAUGGUCACAGAAUCAGAUCCAUUCGAGUUGUCGAGAUUUGUGAAUAUGUUGGUCGCUCAGCAAUUUGUUGAUGGUUUAGAUACUAGGCUAUCAAAUUUGGUUCGGGCGGAGGGCAUAUUUUUGAAUUUAGACGAAGCUUUCCGUAUAGCGUCAGAAAAAGAAGACAUUUUUCUUAGAUUAAAGCUGACCCCAGAGAAAAAAGAAUUUGAUAAAAAUUUAUUUGAAAAAACUAGUCUAAUGACAGAAAAUUGUGAAAGAGAUGAUAGAGUUCGAGAUAAUGGUAAAGUUCAUAUUUUAAAAGUAAAGGCGAGUAAUGAUCGAAAAAUUAAAAGCAAGUUAAAGAAUCAAUUUUGUUAUACGUGUGGUCAAAAAGGUCAUUAUAGACUUAAUUGUCGUUUUAGUAAUUGUAAAAUGUGCAACAGUACAACUCAUACAUCGAAAAAUUGUUAUUUCUUAAAGAAAAAUAGACGAGAAAGAAACAUAAAGGAAAAUGAAAUUUUUAGUAAAAAAAAGUGAAAAUAAGUGUCUUUAAGAAUUUUGAGUUGUUGAAAGAAAAAUGAUGAGUCGAAACGAAGGGUUAUAGGUUGUAUUUGGUUUACAAAGUACAUAAAACAAUCUGCAGGUUUACGUUCCGGUUACGCCGAUGAAUCACAGUUCAUUGUGGUUUACCGGAAGACGAUCUGUUCAGGUAAUGGCGUGCCCUCAUUGCUUGGCGGUGAUAAGACAAGUCAAAAUCUUUUCACAUUAGAUGGUCUUCUGAAGUGUCGCUCAGUUAAAUAAAAUGGAUUUACAAUAGCCCAAAAGAAUCUAACAACAACAGGUUUUGCAUUAGUAAUUUUCUUCUAUAUUCUCAUGUUGGUAAAGAUCUGAUCAAUCUUGAUUCCUGUACGUUUGGUUUUAGCUCCAAGCACCCGAAUGUGGUGAGAUUAUCUGAAGAUGUAGUUUAUUUUUGCAAAUUUCAAGGUUUUAAUGUUUAGUAUUAACGUAAUUAUGCGCAAAUUCCUUAAUACUAUGAUUUAUUACCACUCAAUUUUUUCUAGUAAGACUUCCUCUUAUUAGCUCUAUUGUGUUUUCGAGUUCAGUGAAAACAAAUAGAAAUAAUAGAUUCUCUGUUGUUAGAUUUCUUCAAGAUUUUACAAUACCUCAGUCAUAUAUCACAUAUUUCAAUAAAAACUUGACACUUUCGGGUAACUUGUUCGUUUGUUAGUUGGUUCCUCCUUUUAAAGGUAAGGAGAGGUAUUAAGUGGUCUAGGUCUUGAGUGGAAGACUAGAAAUUUUGUAGAAAAGUAAAUGCUUCGCGCGCGCGGAGUGACCCCAUCUUGGUGGAUCCAGGGGUUUCCAGAUGUACCUGCAGUUGUUGGAUUAUCCGUGAAGACAUAGUCUGAAUGAGCAGAAAAUGUGACUUCUUUGUUUUGCAGUGGGUGACGUGUCCUGGCAGUCACAAUACGGAAUUGAUGUUUUGGUGAGAGGUUGAUAUGCAACUCUUUGUAUUUGUGUAGUCGUCGUACUACGGUGAUCCAUCACGUGGCACAACUGAGUUUUUUAGCGUAGGUGUAGUUGUAUGUGUAGAUGUACACAUGUGGUGCAAGUGUGAGAGUAAAAGUGGUUACUCAUGAAUUGAUGAAAUGAAAGUAGACAAAGUAGCAGGAAAAGUUGUAGAGUUUACAGGUACCCAUUAGUAAGUUGGGUUGAGGUAUAAUGAAAAGGACUUAAAGGAAGUCGAAUAGCAGCCUACGCAGAGCACCGGAUUUACGAAAUAUGUGGAAAUAUGUGGAAAGAUAUGAUGUUUUGGAGAAAUUGCUGAAGUUAGAGUCGAAAUGAGACGAGUUAUUUUGCCAAGUUUUUCUUAAAUGUUGAAAAAAUCAUCAGUGUCGAGAUGACGGAUCUAUCAACAUCAAUGAUCCAGGAUCUCAAGGAUUUUUCAAGAGGACUUCCAAUUAGACACAACAACACGAUGAAUACGAUAAACGAAGUUUACAAAUCUUGAUACCACGAGAGGAAAAAGAAGAAAUUUCUCUGGACAGUUAUUUCAUGAGGGUCCCAGGCAGACAGAAGAAAAGGAAUAUUUAGAUUUCUUUAUUUCCAAGAAGUUGUUUACGACUUGUGGUUGCUGCUACACCACAUUUUGUAAUUUGAAGCCUGCAGUAUAAGUGGUUACCAACUACUUAUCCAAGAGUAUCGUUGAGGACGAACGAUCAAGGACCAAGGAGCCUAUGAUUAAGGAUGAGAAACGAAGGACGAAGAAGCGGAUGUCCAGGAACCAAUCACCAGGGGCCAAGUACCGGGUCAACGACUGAACGAGUCUACAGAAAAAUGAUAACCAGAGCAUUGGAAGAGGAAAGGAUUUCUUUGUAUAAUUAUUAUUGCACAAACAUCAGCAAUAAUGAGGAGCAACAACCAGAAUCAGCUACCAGGACCUUAAGAGGAACGAUUCACCAAGGACCAUCAACUAACGAAAUAAAUCCUAGCUGUCUAGAUUUUGAAUGAUAUUUUGUUGGUCAAUGUUAUGUGUUCUUAGGUCAUGUAAUUGAAAUUAUAAUGUUUUGAAUUGUA